UACGAAGGGGGGCUAGCGUUGUUCGGAUUUACUGGGCGUAAAGCGCACGUAGGCGGAUCUUUAAGUCAGAGGUGAAAUCCCAAGGCUCAACCUUGGAACUGCCUUUGAUACUGGGGAUCUCGAGUUCGGGAGAGGUGAGUGGAACUGCGAGUGUAGAGGUGAAAUUCGUAGAUAUUCGCAAGAACACCAGUGGCGAAGGCGGCUCACUGGCCCGAUACUGACGCUGAGGUGCGAAAGCGUGGGGAGCAAACAGG
rnacentral:rRNA from 1 species